rnacentral:rRNA from 1 species
CCCUUAGAUGUUCUGGGCCGCACGCGCGCUACACUGACGAAGUCAGCGAGCAUGUCCUACGCCGACAGGUGCGGGGAAUCUUGUCAAACUUCGUCGUGAUGGGGAUUGAUUAUUGAAAUUCUUGAUCAUCAACGAGGAAUUCCUAGUAAGCGCAAGUCAGCAGCUUGCGUUGAUUACGUCCCUGCCCUUUGUACACACCGCCCGUCGCUACUACCGAUUGAAUGGUUUAGUGAGAUCUUCGGAUUGGCGCCACUGCGGCUCAGCAAUGGGCUCGGUGGAUGCCGAAAAGUUGAUCAAACUUGAUCAUUUAGAGGAAGUAAAAGACGUAACA